CAUAUACUCCCUCCGUUCGGAAUUACUUGUCGCAAAAAUGGAUGUAUCUAGAUGUGUUUUAGUUCUAGAUACAUCCAUUUCCGAGACAAGUAAUUUUGAACGGAGGGAGUAGUAG
rnacentral:pre_miRNA from 1 species